CCGACAAACUCGCCCACCUCUACCCUGCGUUACCCCCGCUUACACCCUCGCCGCCGCGCUUCGGAGCGGGUGCCGCCGCCGCCGGCACAGGCGGUUUUGACCUUUCAAUAGAGAGCUGAUUUUGGAGAACGGCUUACUCCUGUGACUGAAAAACUCUAUGGAAGGUUGAUGGAGCAUGAGCUUGCUUGCUUUUUG